rnacentral:rRNA from 1 species
AGUGAACGCUGGCGGUAGGCCUAACACAUGCAAGUCGAACGGCAGCACAGGAGAGCUUGCUCUCUGGGUGGCGAGUGGCGGACGGGUGAGGAAUACAUCGGAAUCUACUCUGUCGUGGGGGAUAACGUAGGGAAACUUACGCUAAUACCGCAUACGACCUACGGGUGAAAGCAGGGGACCUUCGGGCCUUGCGCGAUUGAAUGAGCCGAUGUCGGAAUAGUUAGUUGGCGGGGUAAAGGCCCACCAAGGCGACGAUCCUAAGCUGGUUUUAGAGGAUGAUCAGCCACACGGGAACUGAGACACGGUCCAGACUCCUACGGGAGGCAGCAGUGGGGAAGAUUGGACAAUGGGCGCAAGCCUGAUCCAGCCAUACCGCGUGGGUGAAGAAGGCCUUCGGGUUGUAAAGCCCUUUUGUUGGGAAAGAAAUCCAGCUGGCUAAUACCCGGUUGGGAUGACGGUACCCAAAGAAUAAGCACCGGCUAACUUCGUGCCAGCCGCCGCCGUAA